GCCUGAUGCAGUAGCUCACGCCUGUAGUCCCAGCUACUUGGGAGGCUGAGACAGGAGGAUCUCUUGAGUCCAGGAGUUCUGGGCGGUAGUGUGCUAUGCUGAUCAGGUGUCCUCACUAAGUUUGGCAUCAAUAUAGUGACCUCCCAGGAGUGUGGGGGGAGGUGCACCAGGUUGCCUGAGGAGGGGUAAGCCAGCCCUGGUUGGAAAUGGAACAGAUCAAAACUUCCAUGAUUAGUAGUGGGGUUGCGCCUGGGAAUAGGGACUACACUCCAGCCUAGGCAACAUAGCAAGAUCUCAUUUCUA
rfam:Otolemur garnettii contig135773, whole genome shotgun sequence.